AGAUUGGUCUGAGAGAGUCAAGAAGAUUGCCAAAGCUUGGAGAGAAUUAUCCUCUGAUGAAAAACAACCUUUUUUGACACAGGCACGCAAAAACAGAGCCAAUAUAAAGACACAGGAUGGAAAGAAGCCAAAGACUAAGGUUCCAUCUAUGCCUAUGGGGCCUCCCUUACCCCCAGGGCCACAGGGACAAAUGCCUUACCCCCCACCAGCAGCUGCUGACAACCUAGGGUCACCAGUCGUCCUUGAGUCCCUCCAACAGAGUACCAAGUAACCCCUCAAUGGUGACCACACCGGAAGGUCACUCCCCUGGACAGAUGCCUGGUAGUUUACCAGAGAGCCCCCUGAGUCACCCCGGUACCCCACAGGAUCCUAGAAUGAUGGUGGGUCAUGGUGACCCUUACAACCCAGUGAUGGUACACCCUGGAAUGCGACAUCCUCAAGGUGGGCCCCAGAGGCCACCCAUGGCACGCAAUCCCUCGGGUGGAAUGGAUCCAUACAGUCAAGAUCCCUAUGCCAAGCCUCCCUCUACCCCACAGACUCCUCAGAAGUCUCCGUCCAAAAUCCAGUGGCCUGGUCAGGCUCAGGAGUCAGAUCCCUAUGAGAAUCCCCCAGCUACUCCUGCUGAAGGCAUGAGCUCUGGCCAUCCAGGUCACCCAUAUGAUCCAUAUGCCCACCCCCCACAUACGCCAAGGCCAGGGAUGGUCCCCCCACAAGGAAUCCAUAGGCCUCCGUUUACCCGCCAGUCCUCUGUACCAGCCACCCAGACCUCUCACAGUGAUGACCCAUAUGCCUUCCCUCCCCACACACCUGGUCCAAGACCGGGAGGAGACGGUCAAAAUCCAGACUAUCGUAGGACGACAACAGGGUGCGGACAUGUAUCCAGGCAUGGGGGAUCAUCUUCGAUCGCCCUACCCACCCUCUUCUGUUCCAGGUUCCAUGGGCCAGCCACUUCCCAGUACCGCCCCUGAUAUCUACAGAAUGGCAGGACAGUCAGGCAUGAGGCAUCCAUUCAGACCCCCAGGGCCCCCAACAUCUCAAUCUAUGGCCAGGCCCGACCUGUAUGCACAACCAUUGCACCCAGGAAUGGAGCCACCAAGGGAACAGUCAGCAGGAUUGCAGGACAAGAAUUCCUCCGGAGAGACCAGUCAACAGGUCAGGAACAUCCUCCACAAGCAGGCCGAGUCCCGGAUGAGGCAGGGGAAGGGGUCCGAACCACCACAGCCCCCCUGGGAGAAUCAUCCACAAGCUUUUACUUCUGAGGAGAUGACCCGAUUCCCUGUGUCGAGAGGGGCGUGGCCGCCGGCUCCACCCCGAGUGCCAGGUCCCAGACAAAUCCCCCACCCCACGGACAUGGAGAACUUUGGUAUGCGUCCUCCAUACAGUGAGGGGGUACACCCUGGACAGAUGAGGCAGCCCCGCCCCCACGGCCCUAUGAUGCCAGAAAUGUACUCCCCCAAACACUCUCCACAGAUGUCCCCAGGACAGCUCCCAAGUCUCAGGCCAGGCCAGAAUCCAUUAGCUGGCCAUGAUCCUAGAUCUCAGUUCCCCAACAUGAUGGAGCACCGCUUCCCUGUCCCUGGCCAACAGGUGCCCCCCAAUCAGCAGCAGGUGCCCAACAUUUCGGGCCAACCCCAGACUUACAAGUCCUACCCCCCAGAGACUGGGGAACAGAGUAGGAUCAACCCAGGGGCCAUGGGGGAGCAGAGGAAGAUGAGUGACCAUGAUCAGAGAGAGGAGGAGAAAUCAGUGGAGACCAAGGAAGAGAAGAAAGAACUGGUGGAAGACAAACAGAUGAAUGAAGCUGACAUUGAGGAGCUUCUAAGUUCUGAUGGAACAUUUGACAUCAUCAAGUUUGUGGACACAGAUACUGAACUGAAUCUGGAUGAGAACAAGAGUAUAUUUGAUGACCUUGAUGAUGUUGAAAGUGGUUCUAUGGAUAAGGGAGACUCCAAAGAAGACAUGAAGAUGACGAAAGAGAAGAUGGACUCAGAUCUGGAUUCAUCCAAAUCAGGAGGAGGAAUUCCUGACUUCCAGUCCAAGUUUUUGGAGUUCAGUCAGAAGAAGAAUGAGGAAAGAAAGAUUGGUGCCGAGGGCAGUGGCCAGAUGAGUGAAAUGGAUAAGAAGGACCAGCAGAGCAUCAGUCAGAUCGCUGCACUGCUACAGCAGCAGAGCUCAGAGCACAUGCCUCCUACCCUGGAGAGGAGGGAUUCAGUCAAGUCUGAUAGCUCUCUGCCCGGGAAGGAGCAGCUGCCCAGAACGCCUGGUUCUGGACCUUUGACUCCAUCAGGAAAACAGCCAGGGGUGGAUCAGGGAUUCCCAGGAAUGGGAUCCAGAGGGCCAUACUCAGCAGGAAUGCACUCCCCUCUCCAUCAAAUGCAGAGUAUCCCCACCCAACCCUCACCAGGUUCCACCUACCCCCCAGGGCAAGGACCCCCUACCCCUGGCUUACCAUCACCCAAGAUCAUGCCUUCCCCCAGGAGCAACAUACCAUCCCCAAGGACUCCAAGUGUUCAGUCGCCCUUCAAUCCCAUGAACAGUCAGCAGUCUCCAUUCCCGCAGACCCAGUCUCCCUUCUCCCCAACUGUCUCUUCUGCCCCACAGUCACCAUACGCUGCCAACAAACCACAGCCAUCCUUCUCACUUCCUGUCGGCAGCACUAAUCAGCCGGGAUACUCCACAGUGGAAAGUGGAGUACCCGUUCAAAGCCCAGGUCAAAGGUCACCCAGAGGAACCAUCACUCCUACAAAUCAAUACAUGCAGGGAACCUACGGUCAGCCCAUGAUGCAAGGACCCCCUAGAGCUACAACACUGACUCCUACACCAACAAGUAUACUAUACGGAGGACAGUCUGGUAUGGCACAGCAUGGAAUGAGGAAUCCUGUACCUGCCUCUAUGAAUGGAAGUCGACCACCUUUCUCAGGAGCAUCUGCCCAUCCGAUGGGCCACAGCAUGGAGACGGCCACCUCACAGAUGCACUCGAUGGAUCCGUCUGCUGUUCCACACAUGGCUACCUCUCAGUCCUCCCACACGCCGGGAGACAUGCAGGGUCAUCCCCCCUCCAGCCAGAGCACCGCUACUAUGCCACCAUAUGGAAUGCCCGGUCAAAGGAUGCCAGGAAUAAGGCCUCCAAUGGGAAUCCCCACCUCCUCAGUUCCAUCCUCUGCCCCCGGGGCUCCGGGAGGGGGUCGGCCCCAGCUUCUACAGGACCAACCUCUGUUGAUACAAGAUCUGUUAGAACAGGUAAGGAAAUCCAUGGUUUACUUACUAUUAUAUCACUGCCACUAACUGCACAUUAAACAUUCUGUAUCAUUCUGCACCAUAUACAUAAUCAUAAUUGUCAUCUUGUCAAGUACUACUUUGAGAAAGCAUUAUCAUAUUUUAGUAUGAAGAUGGUAGCAGGAAGAUUAAGCUGACACAAGUAUGUUUUGUAUAGGACAUUGAAAAAAAAGUUAAUUCACUCAAAAAUUAAUGUUCAUAAAUGUAGUAGUUAAAUGACUAUUGGAAGAACAACACUUGGUCUAAUUUGUAUUUACUAACAAGUCCAAACUACUUGUGUUUGCUUACUUAUAGGAGAAACAGGAGCAACAGAGACAAGCCCAGCAACAAGCCAUGGGCAUGAUGCAGCGCCCACCCCCCGAGGCAAUGAUGGGACAGCCACCGAGACCAGGGAUGCCCAUGGGCCAGUAUAGACCUCGCAUGGAGGGGAUGAGGCACCCUGUGGAUCCUAACUGGAAUGUCCAGCGACCGUAUGGACAGCCGGAGAUUCCCCCAGGACAGCCUCAGUUUGUGAGGAUGCCGGGACAGCAGAUGCCUCCAAGGAUGCCUGGACCUUAUGUUGGUCAGCCACCGGGGGUUGUUGGCCCCAUGGGGAUACCCACUCCCCCACCCCCUCCUCCCCAGCCCCCUAUGACAGGGGAGUUAACUCCUGAGCUGGAGAGACAACAGCAGCAGUAUGAGGACUGGCUGAUGAAGCAUGGCAACUAUCUGGAGAUGCAGGUCAAGACCCUGGAACAACAGAUCGGCAAGUGCAAGCGCACCAAGAAAGCCAUCAAUGCAAGGAAUAGGCAGGCAAAGAAAACGGGUAGAGAGCCAUCAGCAAACGAUGCGACAGAGCUGGAGAGAGUGACACAGGAGCAGGCUGGUCUCCAGAAACAGCUGGAAAGCUACCGCAAACAGGUCAAGCAGCACCAGAUGCAGACCCAGGACUACCGCACCAAGAAACGGGAGCGCUAUGGACAGGAUUGGGCCUUCAGCCAGAUGCCCCCAGUAACAGGCCCUGCCAUUAUGAAUGUUCCGCCUGGGGGGUUACAACCCCGAAUCCCCGGUCAGCAGGGCUCGGCGAGACUGACUGCCUCGGCCAGACAAGCUUAUGAUGAGUACAUGCAGGACAGGUUAAGGCAGAACCAGCAGAUCCCCGGGGCAGUGGGUGGGCCGCGUCCCAAACACACAGUGGUAGAAGUAAGUGACUGGUUAUAGAUAUGACCCAGGUUAUGUGGUUCUUAACAUUCAUGGAGAAAUUCUGUCAAGGAAAAAAGUCUCAAAACAAGAAUUGAAGUUUAGAUAAAUGUAAGCCAUGCAGAUUUUACUGAUUUGGAUAUGUCAUCCGAAAUAUCAUUUUGACAGAAUUUUUCCCUGAAAAAAAAAAAUGAAGUGAUUUACCAAGAAUGAUAUAAAAAAAAUAUGUUUGUUUUGCUAAGCAUUAAUUUGUAUCACUUAAUAUUGCACCAUUCGUGAUGGCAGUCAAAGUGAAAAUUGUAAAGAGAUCAUUCUGUAGUUCUUAACCUUUUAACAUGUUUUUGAUGCUGUGAAAGCAAGCUGCUUUGAGGAAUGACUGCAAAAUGUUUUCAUGCAUUUACCAAGUGAGAAAAUCAUAAAAUCACUGAAUGUGGCAGCUUUGUAUUAACCACUGAGGAUGGAUGUGGUAUAUGUAGCAUUUUUUUAAUGGUCUAACCAAUACUACUUAUGAUCCAAAUAGUAGAUAAUUCAUGUCCCUACAAUUCAGGAUAACAAGACUAAAGUGGCAGGGCCCAAAGCCAUACUACAGGAUAACAACCCAUUCAGUGAAGAAUACCAGGAAAGAGAGCAAAGAGAAAGAGUUGGCUGCCUGCCAAAGCCUGGGCCUGAACCUGUAGAAAAACCAGAGAUGAUGAGACAGAUGCCACCGUACUUUGACCCCAGAACCAUGCCCUAUGAUCAGACAGGAAGGUUCCCGGCCCCUAGGAUGCCAGGCCCAGCGGAACCCAUGCAGCGGUUUCCAGGUCCUGGGCAACACAUGCCUUUUGAUCCAUCAGCGGCUAGGAUGCCUGGCCCCCAGGACUCUACCCCCAGACACCAGUUCCCCCCAAGGAUGUACACUCCCAUGAACCAAGGACAAGUGGAGGGGGCACCUGUUGGACCACACCCACAAAUGCCCUACCAACCAGGCAAGUAUCGGUUUUUCGACACCUGCGUCUGACAUGGGUACGAACGUGGAAUCGGGCGAGAAAAAGUCAAAGAAACGUAAAAAGAAGAAGAAAGCUGCAGAAAGUCCAGCUGCUACAACGGUAGGCACUGCCGAGCCAAGGCCACCCGUCCAGUUUACUCCUCAGUCUGAGACCGAGAAACGCAUCAUGGAAAUUCUAAACAAUUCAGCGGGACUGGCAGCCCGAUCUCAACACGAAGCUGUGGACAAGUCCCCAGGGAAGGCAAAGGCUGGGGACACCCAGGGAUCCCCUGCCACAGAGCAGAAACCUGAGGGCAGGAAACCAGAGGAGGGUGAGGGCGCUCAGAGGGUGACCUCUGUAAGUGUGCCCGGCCCCAGCACUCAGCCCACCUACACCACUGCUGUCUCUCAUCCAGCAUAUCAGAGUGAGAGCAAUGACCCUGACGAUCAGCAGGAGGAGCACAUUCUGCCAAUGAAUGUGAUGAUUCAUCAGAGCAUUCCUCAGAGUGCAGCUAUUGCCUGCUCUGUACCCCCGGUCCAAGUGUCCCAGAGUCAGCAGAUGGAGGCAGCUCGGAUCCAAGAAUCGGAGUCAAUGCCUCAGACAGCUGCGAAGUCAGUAGAAGGAAGUGUUCAGUCUGAUCAAGGGCAUACUCAAGAGAGACCACCGAUCAGUGGCAGCUCAGAGGCACAGCCUGUGUCUUCAGUGAACAGCAAUGUGAACACUGUGCAGGAACCAGAAACUGUCAGCACAAAUGUGCAGCAUUUACCUCCCCACUCCUAUCCAAUGACCUCCCUCCCUGGUCACCCCCUUCCUCCUCCCAACACCCAGGAAAGAAUGUCUCCCAGGGGCAUGGUUCCUCCAGCUUAUAUGGGUGCUUAUGGCCAUUUUCAGGGCAGGAUGUCACCACGACAGGCACACUAUGGUGGUGCCCCUCCAUCAUUAAUGCCUGUUUCACAGAACCAGUCACCAAGGCAGUCUACCGCCCCCUCCCCUGGAAGAUACUCACCCAGACAGGCUAGUCCCUCCUACCCUGGGGGUCCAUCCCCUGGGCGUUACUCACCCCGACAAGGUUCUCCUGGAGUAUCUAGGCCUCCCUCGAGACCACCUUCCCAGCCUGGGUCAGGAUAUGCACCCCCCAGGCAAGGCCCUACCCCACCAAUAACUGGCUAUCCGAGCUCCACCCCUCCUGCCUCGCCAAAUGUCACUUACUCUCCAGUUACAACUUUCAGUGCUGUGUCAGUAGAUAAUUCAUCAAGAGUGGAAACUUCUGUAGCUCAUACAACAAUAAACUCAAGGCCUAAUGUUUCUACAAGUACUGUUCAGUCCGUCUCCCAAAACACACCCACAGACUCUGUAGCCCCUCCCCCAGCUACGGAAUCUGCGAGUGCACCAGUAGUGGAACAAUCAAAUUUAAAACUGCAAGAUACCAAUACUAGUGUAAAUGUUAGUCAAACAAUUCAAGCUUCUAGUGCAAGUUCUGUGUCCACCUCAGAGACAGUGACCACUGCCUCAGAACAGUCACAGGAAGUCCCCAGCAGUAAAGAUGCCGACCAGUAGACUAGUCGCUGACCAGUAGACUACCUGUAGUCACUGACCAGUAGACAAGUCACUGGCUGUUGUUAAGUGUGUAUAUGAUUUAUGAAAGAUACUUUAUGCAUAGUUUAUUUGAUUUAUUUUAAUAUUAUAUCUGCAAAUAAUAAAUGGUAUGUGAUCUGUUUCUUGUUUUUGUUCACUAUGAGAUGAUCAUGGUACUCUGUAAGUUUCCUACCAUAUAAAGGAUGUAAGAUCAUUAAAUGGUGCAAUAUUGAAAUGGGGUACCGAGUAGCCAAAAUGGAAACUCUGUUUUAGAUAUUUAUACCCCAAGCUACAAGUUGAAAGGUACAUGUAUAAUGUUGGUUCACCAGUCUGUCAGCCAGGUCAUCAGUCCUGUUUAUUUGUAAGUGUAACACCUAUAAAACCUCUGCACGGAAUUUUGUAAAACUGUGUACGU
rnacentral:sRNA from 1 species